GCCAGUGUGGUGCAGUGGUUUGAGCAUUCGACUAUGACUCUGGAGAUCAGGGUUUGAUUCCCCAUUCGAC